rnacentral:rRNA from 1 species
AGUGAACGCUGGCGGUAGGCCUAACACAUGCAAGUCGAACGGCAGCACAGUAAGAGCUUGCUCUUACGGGUGGCGAGUGGCGGACGGGUGAGGAAUACAUCGGAAUCUACUUUUUCGUGGGUGAUAACGUAGGGAAACUUACGCUAAUACCGCAUACGACCUACGGGUGAAAGCAGGGGAUCUUCGGACCUUGCGCGAUUGAAUGAGCCGAUGUCGGAUUAGCUAGUUGGCGGGGUAAAGGCCCACCAAGGCGACGAUCCGUAGCUGGUCUGAGAGGAUGAUCAGCCACACGGGAACUGAGACACGGUCCAGACUCCUACGGGAGGCAGCAGUGGGGAAUAUUGGACAAUGGGCGAAAGCCUGAUCCAGCCAUACCGCGUGGGUGAAGAAGGCCUUCGGGUUGUAAAGCCCUUUUGUUGGGAAAGAAAAGCAGCAGGUUAAUACCCCGCUGUUCUGACGGUACCCAAAGAAUAAGCACCGGCUAACUUCGUG